UACGAAGGGGGCUAGCGUUGCUCGGAAUCACUGGGCGUAAAGGGCGCGUAGGCGGCUUAUCAAGUCGGGGGUGAAAGCCCGUGGCUCAACCACGGAAUGGCCUUCGAUACUGGUAGGCUUGAGACCGGAAGAGGACAGCGGAACUGCGAGUGUAGAGGUGAAAUUCGUAGAUAUUCGCAAGAACACCAGUGGCGAAGGCGGCUGUCUGGUCCGGUUCUGACGCUGAGGCGCGAAAGCGUGGGGAGCGAACAGG
rnacentral:rRNA from 1 species